rnacentral:rRNA from 1 species
GCGCACCAGUCGAGAAUCUUCCACAAUGGACGAAAGUCUGAUGGAGCGACGCCGCGUGCGGGAUGAAGGCCUUAUGGGUUGUAAACCGCUGUCAGGGGGAAGAACAUCGGAAUGAACAAUACUCAUUCCGACUGACGUUACCCCAGAGGAAGCUCCGGCCAACUCCGUGCCAGCAGCCGCGGUAAUACGGGGGGAGCAAGCGUUGUCCGGAAUUAUUGGGCGUAAAGGGCGUGUAGGCGGCGAGGUAAGUCGAAUGUGAAAUCUCACGGCUCAACCGUGAAACUGCGUUCGAAACUACCCUGCUUGAGUACGGGAGAGGUGUACGGAAUUCCUGGUGUAGCGGUGGAAUGCGUAGAUA